AUUGAACGCUGGCGGCAUGCUUUACACAUGCAAGUCGAACGCCCCGCAAGGGGAGCGGCAGACGGGUGAGUAACGCGUGGGAACAUACCCUUUCCUGCGGAAUAGCUCCGGGAAACUGGAAUUAAUACCGCAUACGCCCUACGGGGGAAAGAUUUAUCGGGGAAGGAUUGGCCCGCGUUGGAUUAGCUAGUUGGUGGGGUAAAGGCCUACCAAGGCGACGAUCCAUAGCUGGUCUGAGAGGAUGAUCAGCCACAUUGGGACUGAGACACGGCCCAAACUCCUACGGGAGGCAGCAGUGGGGAAUAUUGGACAAUGGGCGCAAGCCUGAUCCAGCCAUGCCGCGUGAGUGAUGAAGGCCUUAGGGUUGUAAAGCUCUUUCACCGGAGAAGAUAAUGACGGUAUCCGGAGAAGAAGCCCCGGCUAACUUCGUGCCAGCAGCCGCGGUAACAC
rnacentral:rRNA from 1 species